rnacentral:rRNA from 1 species
GACGAACGCUGGCGGUGUGCUUAACACAUGCAGGUGGUGCGACGAACCAGAGCUUGCUCUGGGGCAAAGCCGCGAACGGGUGAGUAACACGUGGGUAAUCUACCCCGAUGACCGGGACAACCCGAGGAAACUCGGGCUAAUACCGGAUGUGGUGCGGAGACAUAAGUCUCUUCACUAAAGGUAGCUUCGGCUUCCGCAUUGGGAGGGGCCCGCGGCCCAUUAGCUUGUUGGUGGGGUCAAGGCCUACCAAGGCAACGAUGGGUAGCUGGUCUGAGAGGACGAUCAGCCACACUGGGACUGAGACACGGCCCAGACUCCUACGGGAGGCAGCAGUGGGGAAUCUUGCGCAAUGCGCGAAAGCGUGACGCAGCAACACCGCGUGAGGGAAGAAGGCCUUAGGGUUGUAAACCUCUUUCAGAUGGGACGAAGGUGCUCCGGUGAAUAGCCGAGAGGAUUGACGGUACCGUCAGAAGAAGCUCCGGCUAACUACGUG